rnacentral:rRNA from 1 species
AGCGAACGUUAGCGGCGGGCCUAACACAUGCAAGUCGAGCGAGAAAGGGGCUUCGGCCCCGAGUACAGCGGCGGACGGGUGAGGAACACGUAGGUAAUCUGCCUUUCAGUGGAGGACAACGGUCCGAAAGGACCGCUAAUACUGCAUACGUUCCCUUGGACUCCGGUCCGGGGGAGGAAAGCCUCGCAAGGGGCGCUGAAAGAGGAGCCUGCGUCGCAUCGGCUGGUUGGUGGGGUAACGGCCUACCAAGGCGAAGACGCGUAGGUGGUCUGAGAGGAUGAUCAGCCACACUGGGACUGAGACACGGCCCAGACUCCUACGGGAGGCAGCAGUGGGGAAUAUUGGACAAUGGGGGCAACCUUGAUCCAGCCACGCCGCGUGAGUGAUGAAGGCCUUCGGGUCGUAAAGCUCUGUGGGGAGGGACGAACGUCCCCGUGAAGAACGGGGGGUGACGGUACCUCCUUAGCAAGCACCGGCUAACUUCGUGCCAGCCGCCGCAGUAAGAC